AGCUCCUAGAAAUUUAGAGGCAUAGGACACAGGUGAAAAAGAAGUCUUUGGGUCAUGGAACCAGGUCCUCACACCAUGGUGCUUUUCAUGGACAAUGACAUCAUGCAAUACGUUUUAUAAACUGGCUAAGUUCCAGCUUAAAAUUGAUCAUUUACUUGGUGCUUACACUAUCAGAAGGCUGCUCCAGACUGUGACUCCUCCAUAGUCAGAAAGCUUGACAUUUAAAAUUUAAUCUAUCAUCAGUGAGUCACAGCUUUGUCUUAAACUCAAUGCUGGUGUGUCUAGCAUUGCAGUGGAAGUCAGUUCACCUCUUCCCAAAAAAACCCAGUGGAGGGUCCCUGAGCAGACGGAUGAAAACCUUCUCAGUCUUGCUAGAAUAGAGUGAACACAAAAACUUCUGGUCGCUGCCAGAUAAUCUCUCUAAUCCAACUAUUGGAUCUCACUCUGCAUGAGAUGAAUCAGAUCUUUGAUGGCAAAUAAAAGCAUUGUUUGCAUUGGUGUGAUUGCUGAUCUCCUUUUCAAAAACCAGAGGGAUGUUUAAUUCUUUUGCAUACCAAACUGAAUAUGAGGCAGCACUCCAGGUACCUUACUGGUUCAGAGUUAAAGGACUGUAGAGGAUGUGGCUGCCUUGCAGAAAAGAGAUUUAGAAAAGGAAAGGUUAAGAUUUUAGGUAUUUUUCUCCCUACUUUAGUCCGUACAUUACAUUUGCAAGUUCCACUUAGGUAAGUCAUAAAAUUGUAGGAACACAUUUUAGCCACAAUGGAUUACUUGUAGGCUUUUUCAUCUCCCUCUGCCUCUACUUAAACUAUUACUCCUGAGACAGGUGAACCUGUAUUUGUUGUGUCAAUAUUGGUGAAUCAGUGUUGCCAGUAUUUUUGUACUCUGCACACAGAGAGUAAUGUCCUGCGAGCUGAAGAUGCACUUGAGAAUACUUCGGCCCUGGCAGCCAAAGGUUUCACCAACAUUGCUUCACUGAGGACAGAAAAUUCAGUAGUAGCUGACUUGCAGGGUUCCCAAAAGACCAUUUUAUUCUGAACCUGUGGUGUGAGAAGUUUUGCUUUUAAACCAUUGUGCCAGGUAGUCGGAGCAAAAGAAGUUAUAAAAGCAGCAUUUACUUAUGUGGAUUCCUUGGAUUUCUCUGCUGCUGUUUAUAAUGGGAUAAUCUGGUGCUCAAAAAAAUGUGAAAAAGCCUUUUGCAGAAAGCAGUAGAAAGACAUUUUAUGUUCCUUUUUACUGAUUACCUUUGCUUGAUGAGAGGGAACAAUUAUUUUAAGUGGAUUACUUCCAAAGAAUAACUUAAUUUGAUAAUAAAACAAAUACUACUUUCCCAUUUAUUGAUGAAUCAAGCAAGGUAAUUGGAUUUAUAACUUCUGAAUCUAUGAGUAAUCCUGUUUCUAAAUCACAUAUGUGUUUCCUCCUCUGCUUUUAUGUUCAUCAGGAGAUGACACUUAGUUAUUCCUUCUCUUUCUGGCAGAAAUUCACUUUUUUGAAUCAGGACAGCAAUGGUCUUCUGCACUGCUGCUGAGCUCAAAAUAGAGCUAAUUUAUACUUAUGCAAUAUACAUCCUUGCUGGAGAAAAGUGAGCUUCAGUCAUUUUGAGUAGCUAGAAAUACUAGUUAAUUAAAACAGAUCUUGCAUUAAUAUCUAGAAUAUGCACAGUAACAGUGGAACGUUAUGGUACUGUUUUGUACUACUUCAUAGCAGGGGCCUGGAAGCUGAGAGGCCCCUGGAACAUAUAUCCCAGCCUGGUAUGUAGGAAACGCCUUUGAUGGGCAUAUACAGCUAAUUUGAGGAGUGGCCGUGCCAAGCGUUAUUGACGCUUCUCCUCCCUCUGCUUUUUAGCUUGAUACCACAAAUCCACCAUGCUGAAUAUUUAGAAGAUUAUAGAUGAUUUAAGACAUAAAAUCACAAAAGAUUUUUCACCUAACUGAAUUAGUAAAAUGCUUAUUUUUACCAGUAAUUAAUCUUGUAGCAGUUUAUACUCCUAGACCAUCUUUCACCUGGAGAUCUCAGAUCAGUUUGCAAACAUUAGGUAAACUUCUUAGACUCUGUACUUAAAUACUUCAUUUGUUUUACAGGGAUGGCCUGCACCUACAAUGGUCUACCAAUAUAGCUAUACCUAUUCAUACCAACGCAUUUCUGAAGUGGAAAUGCUACUUAUGUUAGAAAAACAGUUCCUCUUUUGGUACAGAACAAAAAUCUGUUCCUUGAGGAACUAUGUCUGCAUGUUCUGGUUUAAAGUGUGAUUUCUUUUCAUACCUCUAUUCAACUCAGUAAUGUUAGCAAAACUUUUAAGAGCAGAUCAAAUCAUGAACUGAAAGCACUAAAAAAGCUCAUUCAAACUUGGAUUAUUUUCUUACGUAAAGGGCAAAUGACCCUUGUGCUCAAAAUACAUUACUUUAUUGAUGGGAUUCAUUGAUCAGUAUAUGCCCUCGGUCCCAUUGAUAAAGAUGGAAAUCUGUUACAUUCCCCAGCUUCACCACCUUUACUCUCUGCAUCAGUGUUGCCCUCUUGCCUGAUAAAGCACUGCUCAGAAACGGACUUCCAGAGCUGAAAGAACACAUCUGUAGAGCCUGAAUUGAAUAGCCAGCUUCUGUCAUUUGGAACUGUAACAAAAUUGCAUCUGCUGAAAAUCACACAGUUCUGCUAGCUAUUAUGGUUUUACCAUGGAUCUGAUAAUCUUGAGACAUUUUUCCUGGUCUGCCAAUGUCAGCCAUAUUCUUUAAUGGUGGUCAGCAGUGAAUGAUAAUGAUUCACUUGGGAGUUUCCAGGGUUUCCAGCCUACCAAGCCCCAUUGUGGUUUACAGCUGAAACAUUUCGAUCGAACUUUUCCACUUGUAGAUGCCAUUUGAAGCCAGUGCUGCACCUCCAUAUUUUUUUUCAGAUGAGAACAGAAUGUGUUGUUUGAACUGAAAUUACAUUCUGGGGUAGAAUAGAAGAGGGCAGAAGGAAAGACAUGUUAUUUGUUAGGAAAAGUAUGCUAUGGGUUUUGUGGUACUGUGGGAAAGUUUGCUCCUGCUGCGUCUACUCAGAAUCCCAAAUCCCACAUCCACAUCACCUUGAUUCCCACCACAUUUUCCUCUGUGCCUCCUUCCACACAGUGACAGAAAAAGCCAGAUUUUUUUUGACUAAUCUAAUGUACUUUUUUCUCCUCAGUCUCUUCUGUCUCUCCCCAUUGCUUCCAGAAGGGGCGGGACUAUUUCUCUCCAUUACAGGGCAUCGUAGGGCUUUCUGACAUCACUUCCAAUGCAUUCCUUGCCUCCGUUCACCCAGGAAGAAUCUGCUGCGUUUUGAUUUCUGUCUCAGGUCACUCAUCACACAGCUAUGUGCCAGCAGGAAGUAUGUUGCUCUUCUGGUAGACUAAACAAAAGGAAAUCCACCUGGGACGGAGAGGAGACACUAGUAUCCCUUUUAACAACUUCACUUCUAAAUCACCCUUCCAUCCCCUGCCUUCAUCUCCCUCCCUCUAGCACAGAUUCCACACUAAAGCAAAGCAAACACAAACAAAGGACACCUGUUCCCAGCCCUACUAAAGAGAGAAAAGCUGCUAGUGCCCAAAGGCUAAAGCUGAGCUGAACGUAUUAUGGCUACAGAAGUUGGCUAGGCUGCAGAUAUACCUGCGCAAGGGAAAUAUGAGCCUAUCGCGCAAUGCCAGCAAAUAACAACUAAAAAGUAACUUACAUCACAGGAGGAUGGCAGGGGGAAAUCAAGGUACAAUUAUCACCACUCCUCUGCGCCCAUAUAUCAUCUUGUUGGCAUGUACACAAGUGUUCCUUCAAUAUAAAUUAUUAAAAAAAAGUAAAAAAAAAGGUAAUUUGCUGUCAACACUUACAGCAGGUGACCACACUCUCCCCUCACUUGUUACAGAGCUCGCACAAAUUCUUCUUUUUCUGCAGACGUCAUGGUCAUCACCAGUGUGAGCAGAGGGAUGCUUCUUGUAGCAUGCCCUGGAGAUGAACAGACCCAAGCUAUUUCAGACCAGUGAGUCCUUUCCAGGGCUGAGAGCUCCUCACAGAGACUGCUUUGCAACCGUCAUCUUCUUUUUCAGCUUGAGCGGCUUUUCUUCUUGCAGCCAUGGCAGUAUGGCAGAAAGGAGAUGGGAUAGCUCUCUCCCGUGUCCAGCGCUCCUUUUCUCACUGCUAGUGAUUCAAAGGAUUAAAGCAGAAGGAUAUACAGCAGCAGAUGGGGAUUUCAUUUAUUUCCUGUGCUUUGAAAACAGACUCUAAGAAAUACAUCCAUUGUUAUUGUGACCUCCAGUACAAUGAAUGCAGAUUUCAGUUUGAGUUGGGAGGGGGAUGUUGCUGGGUCCAGGGAAGUGGGCACCACAGUGGAGAGAAAUGCUCUGGUGAUAUUUUAUCCACAUUAUUCAGGCAAAAAGCCAGUUUGUAGCAAAGGUCAGUGCAUCAAAGAUGUACAAAAUACUCCUGUUUUUCUCCAUCUCUUCCCCUUCCCCUGGGGAUCCAGCGCAGAGGAGCAGAAGCCAGAGGUGGUGGCAGUGGAAGAGGUGAACUCCAACUAGGGCUCCUGUGGCAAGGUGCUGGGCCCUCAGGGCUGCCCCUGGUAAUGGGAAAAAAACCCAGCAAACAAACAGAAAACAGAAGCAAGAAGUUGCUUGUGGGAGAAGGAAGGCCAUGGCAAUCGGUGGCCUGGCUCCCAUGCCGCCUGAAGCUGUGGAGAAGGAACUGGCCGGUUCUGAGGCUGCUCAUGUGAUUUUUGGGACACACUUUUAUGUCAGAAGAGGGAACUGUAGCCUUUCCACCCCUGAUCAGUGGGGCAGCCUUGUGUGGGUGGUCUGCGGAGAGGAAGGAGAGGAUUACCCUCAGUUCCCUGUCUCCCCAGGUUGCUCGUCGGAGGGCUCCCGGGGUGAACCUGGGGCUUCAGUCCUAGGGCAAGGGGUGGAGGAAACAGUCUCUAGAAAUGGCCUCGUCCUUCUUUUAACAGAUCCAAAGGGAAAGAUCAGUCCCAUGGAAGAGGCUUUUGCUUCGGGGUUUCAUAACCUAGGAGUGCUGUGGAACUUCCAGAACCCAGAUGUGAUAGAGGACAUUAGCUUUUCCAGAGUCUUCGCUUUUAAUCUCCACCUGUGAAGAACUGGGUCAAUUGUGCAUGGCCAGAGACAGCAGUUCCCCUUGCACUGUAGCUUCGAGUACUGGAGAUAACACUUCCUAUAAAUCAAGACAGGCUGUAAAAAGUGACAAAAACUGUGAAGUUCAGCUUGCCAGGAAACUGUUAUCGUGUAUGUGUAUUUUUUUAGAAAAAAACCCCAUUUAAUAUCCACAUUCCAUUUUGUCAAUUUUUCAAAACCCCUGACAGGGAUGUGAAUGUUGCUCAAGAGCUAUUACAUAUCGUGAUUAUAAUUUGUUCUUUUUGAAGAAGGUGAUGUCUAAGUUGUUUUUGAUGAUUAUGUUUCCUUGGCCUAUAUUUAUUUGAAAGGCACUUUUCAAACCUGAGAAUUGUUUCCAAACAGUAUGCAUAAAUGAUUAGUACUGCUUGCAGUCAUGCAGUUUGAUCCCUGUUCCCUUUAGAUGUUAGUCUAGAUGUGAAGACAGUGCCCUACCUGGUGCAGAAAGAAUAGAUCUUAACUGCUGCAGCAGCUGAAAGAGUUGGAAUGAUUUAAAGAUAAAACCAGCCACUUCCUAUAGAAUCAGUCAGAGCUCUGGGUUAUAAAAUCCACCGUAUACUUUGCAUGUGCUAACGAUGUGGUGUUUACUAGCAGAAUGCUGUGUAAGUGACUAGUAAAUACCAUGGCUUCAAACACACAGAUUCCCUGUUUCGAGCUUCAUCCUAUGGUCUACAUGCAACUUGGUCCUACUUUGCGGCUGCUAUGACACAAACCCUAAAUUAUCUUCUAAUUUUUCAAAUUCAAAAGAAACUCCAUUUAUUUAAUUGUUUAAUGCCUCUCUGAAGAAUCAAGGCAUUUUACCCUAGGUUCACCAGAAUGAAUACUUAUCCCAGACAUCUCCCUUUGAAAAGAAGGUUCUUCAUCGUGCCAGUAAGGAAAAUAUUUUGUGAGUGUUGCAAUUUUUUUUCCAGCUAAGUGACAAGGAGCAUUUAAUUUUGGAUAAAAUAGGUGUUUAUAUUUUCUUUCUUGUCAUUUUUUUGUUUUAAAAAUCCGUUAUUAGUGUCCUCCACCAUUUGAAAACCAGGAAGGAACAACUUUUCUUGAGAAAAGAAUAGGUAACCACCUAGUGAAAUGUCAAAACCAAAGAAUCAUUGUGUUUUGAUAGCACGUUAUGUACUGAAGUCUGUAUAGCUCGCCAUACGUUCUGGUACAUUUUAGACUUGUAUUUAUUUGGAAAAAAAAAAUAGGGAACAAUUGUUGCAAAAAUUAGCACAGGUUCCAGAAAAGAUAUAUGAGCAGAGGGACUGAUUUUUAAGGGUGCAACCAUAAGAUACGUGUGAAAUGAGCACAAACUAAUUUUAUCUUUGUCAGCACUAGCUGCAGUGUGGUCUGAUAGCUUUUAUAAUCUUUGCUGUUUUUUGACCAGAGUCUUCCCCUCUGGAGAUCCAGUUCUUGGAGCCGUUCUUUCUCCUCCCCCAUCUCAUCUGAUACCUGUUUCCAAAUUUAAUGUGCUUUCUAUCCUUUGGUUCUUAAAUGACCUCUCUUUUCCUUUUACCUCUUCUGUUAUUUAAAGUUGCAAUGUAUAUUAAAACUCACAAAACAGGCUUAAGGCAAACCAAGCCGCAAACUGUAUCUAUGUAAUAGGGGCAUGUGUGAUUGGGAACAACAGGACAGAGUUUCUUUAGUUAUUGCAGGGACAUUCAUGUAGGAGGCAAACAUCAUUUAAACAGAUGUUCUUCUGAAAUGCAGAAAAGGAGCUGGAUUGUGUCUCCCCUGCUUGGUGACAGCAUGUCUUGAAGUACACCUGAUGCCUCAGUCCUUUUGCAUGCCAACUUGUGGCUGCAAAGCUGGAGGGAGGGAGGAAGCACAUCCUGCAAUUUUACUACGGGAGAAAAUAACAAAUAUCUCAAAUCAGACAAGUACCGAGGGGCAACGCAGCACCGUUAUGCAUGGAGAUGGGGGAUGGCACAGCUGGAAUCAUGCACGAUGGUAUCAGGUGGCACUAAAACGUUUAUCUGUGGUUGCUGUGAGCGUGGAGGGAGGCAUUGCCAUGACUUCUUUAGUCCGCCAAUAAAUCCAUUCCUAGUCCUUCAGCCUCCUCCUUCCUUUAAAGAAACGGAGAAUGUCCUUCAGAGGUCCACUGUUCAUCUAUUUAAAAUUAUUUGUAAAUCCUUUGCUGAAUUUGGGCUUGUGUCAGAAGUGGGCUGAAAGAAGCAAUGAGCCGGAGCUGUGAGACAGACCAGAUAGAGUCUGUAUAACAUGUACCCCCCUAAAAAUAGUUACUGUCUUCUUCUAAAAGCAGUAACAGAAUAUGAGUUGUAAACUUGGUGUUCUUAGAUUGUCACUUUGGCUCUAACUAAGCUACCAUUUAAGGCCAGUUUGUACAUGGGGUAGGAGUGUUAAAAAAAUAAUUGACGCUAGCUGCUUUCAUCAAUCACUUUCCAGUGAAUGAUUUUCUAUUUUAUUCCUGCUAAUGUUUGUCAGCAAUUUUCUCAUGGAUCUUUUUGCACUUUUUUUUUUUUUUUACUCUUUCUUUGUUCUGGUAAAUUUGCCUGCUAAAGAAACUGUUUUAUUUCAUGGGCCACGCUGGAAGAACGCCUGUGACCGCCCAGGUGAGGACUUGCUCCAAGUCAGAAAUGCUUUUAUAGUCAGCUAAGAAGGAACAAAUACACCCCCCCAGAACCACGAAUUUCAACACCUCUUCUGGCAGCGCAUGCAAGACAGUAUCAUUUUUGAAAGCAUAAUAGUAUUUCUAAAAUCAAAUUAAAGAUCUUACUUUCAAGAUAUCUUAUUUUCUGUUCCAAAUAAGCUGCAGUCUACAGUAUAACUUUGUCAUCCAGAAGAAAGCCUGAAAUUAAGAGAAACAUUAUAUGAUCCUAGCAUCUAUUAUGCAUCUUUUUAUUUGUUGAAGGCUUGCUGUAGAAUCUGCUUGUUUCCAAGGAAUGAAAUUGCUUAUUAUCCCAGAUAAUGAAAGACCAUGUCGUCAUCUAUAAUUGUUAGUUUAGGAUACUCACUGUACCCUUCUAUUAUAAAUAGGUUUGCAUUAAAAAAGUUUCAGCAAAGGAAGCAGCUUUUAAAGAUUUUCUUAAAAAAAGAGGGAUUUGUUUGCAAGUGAAAUUUAUGCAUUUUUGACUGCAAAAUAUAUUGGAACAAGUUUCUUAAUUGACAGAUUGUAACUUGAAUAUGUAUGCUAUUUACUGAAUGCAAUCUGUGAAUAUUACAGCCUUUUUUCAAUGAUCAUAGAAGUGUGCUUCUCUAUAUACCUAAGUACAUAAAUAUACCCACCUGUCUACGUA